UACGUAGGGUGCGAGCGUUGCCCGGAAUUAUUGGGCGUAAAGAGCUUGUAGGCGGUUUGUCGCGUCUGCUGUGAAAAUCCGGGGCUCCACCCCGGGCUUGCAGUGGGUACGGGCAGACUAGAGUGUGGUAGGGGAGACUGGAAUUCCUGGUGAAGCGGUGAAAUGCGCAGAUAUCAGGAGGAACACCGGUGGCGAAGGCGGGUCUCUGGGCCGUAACUGACGCUCAUGCACGACAGCGUGGGGAUCAAACAGG
rnacentral:rRNA from 1 species